rnacentral:ribozyme from 1 species
UUCACGUGAUGGUAAGCGUUGUCCUCUCUGUGCGUGGUUUGAUUGUUGCAUAGGAUGCUUGAUUCCAGAUGAUAAUUCGCCCACAAUUGUCAUGUGUGGCGAUAGCAUAGCAGUGGACUGGCACAUGGCUGUCGAGCUUAGAACUUCUGGAUU